UGGCUGAGCGUUCAUGACUCCUGUCUAAUUUUUUAACCGUCCACGUGGACAGUUCCAUAUCAUAUUUUAUCAUCAAAAGAAGUCAAGGCAACAACACAAGAAAGAAACCUAGAGGCAAGAACUGAAGCAAAAGAUAUGGAGUAAUAUUACCUUUUGGCUUUUUACUACUCACAUCUUCAGACUGUUUUCUUAUAUAAUUCAGGACCACUAGUCCACAGGUGACAUCAACCACAAUGUGUAUCCUUCAUAUCAAGCAUUGCUCAAGAAAAUGCCCUAUCAGGUCAAUAUUAUUGAGAAAUUAAGUAUCAUCCCUCCAAUGUCAGAUGCCUGGACAAAGAUGAAGGAAGUGUCUGAUUCAUUUCUGUACCAAAUUCAGUGAGACCUAGCAAUUACUUCUCCCCAGUUGUCAUCUCUUUGCUCUAGACAGUUUAUAAUUUGAAAGACAGCAUUUUGGACUCUGUGCUUUGAGGUGCUUUGCAUGAAUAAGAGAAUAAUUGUAGAGACACUCAAUUGAGCCAUGUUAAGUAUGAUUUCCGUAUUUUGUGGAAAUGGAAUCAGAGUUGACAAGGCAAAGGGGGUCAACCCAAGUGGGAAAAUAAAAAGCUGUUAAUCUACCUCAAGAGAA